GGACACCAUCAUGUCUCUUUAUUAGUUAUUUAGCUAAGGGGUCCUUGGUGAACAAGGUUAAAAUCAAAUAUACUAUUCAGAGCAUAAACAUGAAGAGGGCACUGGAUCUUGUUACAGGUUCAGCAAAAUACAGCCCAGUCAGCAGUGAUGGGAGGCAGACUCCAGAACCAAGUUGGUGGACUGGAUAAUACUCAGGGAUUCAUCUUCUGAUCUGAAUGAAUAUGCUACAUCUGUCACCGGCUUCAUCAAGACCUGUGUGGAUGAGUGUGUGCCUUCGAGAACAUACUGGACAUACCCAAAACAAAAUCCAUGGAUGAACCAAGAGAUUUGCAGUCUGCUGAAGGUUAGAUCUGUGGCAUUCAAGACUGGUGAUCCAGAACUACACAAGCAGUCCAGGUAUGACCUAUUGAAUGCUAUUUUAAGGGUGGAAAAAACAAUUUCAAUUCAGAUUAGAGAAAGAAUUGGAUGCAUGUCAGCUCUGGCAGGGUUUGCAAUAUUUCCAACAAGGUGAAACCUAACUUCAUGAUUGGCUGUGAUACGUUACCUCUAGAUGAGUUUAACACCUUUUAUGCAUGUGUUGCAAGGGAUAAUAAAACUACACCUGUGCAAAUCCCUGCAGCAUGUGGUGACCCUGUGAUCUCUGUCCUGGGAGCCAAAGUCAAAUUAUCUUUCAAGAAGUUGAACCCUCGCAAGGUGUCAGUUCCUGACAGUGUACCUGCUUGGGCUCUGAAAAACUGUGCCAACCAGGAGUAUUCAAGAACAUCUUCAAUCUCUCACUGCUGCAGUUGGGAGUUUCCACCUGAUUUAAAAGAAUGAUAAUUAUACCAGUGCCCAAGAAAAGCAGGGUGAGUUGCCUCAAUGACUAUCAUCCAGUUGCAAUUCAUCACAGUAGACAUGAGUGCUUUGAGAGGUUGGUCACGGCCAGAAUCAACUCUUGCCUAAGCAAGGACCUAGAUCUGCUGCAAUUUGCCUAUCAGCACACUAGGUCUACAGUGGAUGCCAUUUCACUGAUUCUCCACUGUCUUGGAUCACCUGGACAAUAGCAAUACUUACGACAGCCUACUGUUUGUUGAUUAAUGCUUAGCGUUCAACACAAUCAUACCUCAGUCCUAGUCAAGGAGACUUGGCAUGCCACCAAAGACUUUUGGCUUUCUACAGAUGUACCAUGGAGAGCAUUCCAACUGGUUGCUUCACCAUCUGGUUUGAAGGGGCAACUGGACUGGAUCAGAAAAACCUGCAGAGGGUUGUAAACUCAGCCAACUCCGUCAUGGGCACCAGCCUCCCCAGCACUGAGGACACCUUCAAAAGGUGAAACCUCAGAAAGGAAGCAUCCAGCAUUAAGGGCCCAGGGCAUGCCCUCUUCUUUUUGCUGCCAUCAAGGAAGUGGUACAGGAGCCUGAAGACACUCAGUGUUUCAGGAACAGCUUCUUCUCCUCUGCUAUCAAAUUUCUGAAUGGACAAUGAACCCAUGUACACUUUCCCCUUUACUUCAAUGGCACAGCAAUGGAAACUGCUAACAAUAUCAAACUCAAGGGAGUGCACAUCACACACAACCUUCUGAGUCUGAAAAGAACUGGACUACACACAUCCAUACUUGUAUCAUUCUACAGAUGCACAGUCGAGAGCAUCCUAAUAAGCUGUAUCACUGCUUGGUGUGGAAACUAUACUGUGGUGGAUAGGAAAGCUCUAAAACAAGUAGUCAAAACUGCCCAAACCAUCACUAGCACCAGUCUACCUGCUAUCAAGGAUAGAUAUAUAUAAAAAUAUAAAUAUAUAUUACACACACACACACACAAUGGUGCCAAAAAAGGGCCAGUAAUGUCAUGAAGGGUCCCACAUUCCUUGCUCAUGGACUGUUUGUCCCACUCCUAUCAGGGGGAGGCUACGUUGCAUCCAUGCCAGGACCUCCAGAUUCAUUAAAACAGUCAGGCUGAUCAACAUCUCUACCUACUAAUUCCAUCCGUUAACUUCCGUUAAUGCCCCUCCUCCUCUUCUUACCCCAUCCCUGACAUAUUUAGUUGUUUGCCUGUUCUCCAUCUCCCUCUGGUGCUUCCCCCCCACUUCUUUCUCCUGAGGCCUCCCGUCCCAUGAUCCUUUCCCUUCUCCAGCUCUGUAUCACUUUCGCCAAUCACCUUUCCAGCUCUUAGCUUCAUCUCACCCCCUCCGGUCUUCUCCUAUCAUUUCACAUUUCCCCCUCCACCCUCUAUUUUCAAAUCUCUUACUAUCUUUCCUUUCAGUUAGUCCUGACGAAGGGUCUCGGCCCGAAACAUGGACAUCACUUCUCCCUAUAGAUGCUGCCUAACCUGCUGUGCUCUACCAGCAUUUUAUGUGUGUUGCUACUAAUUCCAUCACUUUAUUAUUUCCUGUCAGUCAAUUUAUGUACAGUCUAGCAUCACUUUAUGGAUAUGCAAUCAAUCUAUAUAAGCUAUCGUAUGUAUUUAUACUUAUUGUGCUUUUAUAUUAUUACUGUGUUCCUCAUCUUACUGUGUCUUAUUGUGCU